AGCCCAAGAGCUCUGGGCCCUGAGCAAGCCUCUGAUGCUCUGGUCCCCUGAACCCACCUUUUAAAUGCUUAUUCUGUCUCUUACUAACUCCUUUGUGUCUGUCGGACUUGGGGUACCCACUGGGUGGUGUGGGGCUGGUUUCCCUAACAUUCCCCACCCAAAUAAAGCAGCUCCAACCUUCCAGAUGGUUGCUCAGCUCAGAAGUCUUAGAGAAAUUCUGAUGCCUCUCCUCACAUUUGCUCUGUCAGCAAAUCCUGGUGUCACAAGAGGGCUCAGGAGGGUUUCUGGAUGCCAAUGAGACCCCAGCCACAGCCGGUCCCCAGAUUCUUGACAUCGUCACAAGAAAGAAUUCACAGAUGGCGCACAAGAAGGCUCUCGCCAGAUGCUGGUCUUGUGAUCUUGGACUUCCCAGCCUCCAGAACUGUUCUACUUGAAUCAUAGUUUCUUUGCUCCUGGGAUACCCCUGCUAUUCCCAGUGAUGCUGCGAACUGGGGUUCAAAGUGGGGUGGUCUGGUGAGGCCUAAAAUCCAUGUCCGGUGGAGAACUGGCUGCAUCCCUUACAGAACCUGCCACAUAUUUCUGCGACUUCCAAGAGGAAGGCUGGAAUUUACUGAGCUUACUGAAGCCAAUUAUCCAAAGAGGAUGUGAUCCAGAAGCAAGAUAAAGAUCAAAAGGACUCAGCUGGGAUUUGGCCUUCUCCAAGUGGAAGGAAUAAAAUCUGCAAUUGGCUCUGAAAAUAAAAACCAAACAAAAUCUCAGGCAAUCAUA